rnacentral:sRNA from 1 species
GGAUGUGAGGGCGAUCUGGCUGCGACAUCUGUCACCCCAUUGAUCGCCAGGGUUGAUUCGGCUGAUCUGGCUGGCUAGGCGGGUGUCCCCCUCCUCCCUCACCGCUCCAUGUGCGUCCCUCCCGAAGCUGCGCGCUCGGUCGAAGAGGACGACCAUCACCGAUAGAGGAGGACCGUUCUUCGGUCAAGGGUAUACGAGUAGCUGCGCUCCCCUGCUAGAACCUCCAAACAAGCUCUCUCAGGGACUUGGGCUCCUCUUGUCUUGUGGCUGUGUCAUCAUUGCCCCAUGACUUCCUGAUGUUUACUGUAUCA